rnacentral:lncRNA from 1 species
GCAAAUGUAAAGAAGGAUACCAGGGUGAUGGACUGACUUGUGUGUAUAUCCCAAAAGUUAUGAUUGAACCUUCAGGUCCAAUUCAUGUACCAAAGGGAAAUGGUACCAUUUUAAAGGGUGACACAGGAAAUAAUAAUUGGAUUCCUGAUGUUGGAAGUACUUGGUGGCCUCCGAAGACACCAUAUAUUCCUCCUAUCAUUACCAACAGGCCUACUUCUAAGCCAACAACAAGACCUACACCAAAGCCAACACCAAUUCCUACUCCACCACCACCACCACCCCUGCCAACAGAGCUCAGAACACCUCUACCACCUACAACCCCAGAAAGGCCAACCACCGGACUGACAACUAUAGCACCAGCUGCCAGUACACCUCCAGGAGGGAUUACAGUUGACAACAGGGUACAGACAGACCCUCAGAAACCCAGAGGAGAUGUGUGUUCUGGUACACAGUUGUAAUUUUGACCAUGGACUUUGUGGAUGGAUCAGGGAGAAAGACAAUGACUUGCACUGGGAACCAAUCAGGGACCCAGCAGGUGUUUGUGAGAAAACACGGUGCCCACGGAGCAGCCCUGUGGGGAAGAAAUGGUGGCCAUGGCUGGAGGCAAACACAGAUCACCUUGCGAGGGGCUGACAUCAAGAGCGUCGUCUUCAAAGGUGAAAAAAGGCGUGGUCACACUGGGGAGAUUGGAUUAGAUGAUGUGAGCUUGAAAAAAGGCCACUGCUCUGAAGAACGCUAACAACUCCAGAACUAACAAUGAACUCCUAUGUUGCUCUAUCCUCUUUUUCCAAUUCUCAUCUUCUCUCCUCUUCUCCCUUUUAUCAGGCCUAGGAGAAGAGUGGGUCAGUGGGUCAGAAGGAAGUCUAUUUGGUGACCCAGGUUUUUCUGGCCUGCUUUUGUGCAAUCCCAAUGAACAGUGAUACCCUCCUUGAAAUACAGGGGCAUCGCAGACACAUCAAAGCCAUCUGUGGGUGUUGCCUUCCAUCCUGUGUCUCUUUCAGGAAGGCAUUCAGCAUGCGUGAGCCAUACCAUCCUCCAUCCUGAUUACAAGGUGCUCCUUGUAGCAAAUUAUGAGAGUGAGUUACGGGAGCAGUUUUUAAAAGAAAUCUUUGCAGAUGGCUAUGAUGUUAUGUGUUCGGUGUUGUACCAUGAGUAGUAUUGACUUCCCUUGAGAUAUGAUGUACAAUGUGCUUGUGAAAUUGACUUACCCUCUUCACUUAAGUUAGUUCUGGCCUGACCUGAACUCUGACUUUUACUGCCAUUCACUUUAUAAAAUAAGGGUGUGUAACAUAUCAAGAUACAUUUAUUUUUAUCUGUUUUUUUUUUCCUGUUAAAGACAAUUAUGUAGAGUGGGCACGUAAUCCCUCCUUAGUAGUAUUGUGUUUUGUGUAAAUGUGCUAUUGAUAUUAAGUAUUUACAUGUUCCAAAUAUUUACAGACUCUAGUUGCAAGGUAAAGGGCAGCUUGUGAUCUCAAAAAAAUACAUGGUGAAAUGUCAUCCAGUUCCAUGACCUUAUAUUGGCAGCAGUAGGAAAUUGGCAGAAGUGUUGGGUUGUGGUAACGGAGUGAUGAAUUUUUUUUUAAUGGCCUUGAGUUUGAUCUCUGCAAAGGAUAGGAAACCUUUAGGAAGACAAGAAACUGCAGUUAAUUUAGAACUGUCACUGUUUCAAGUUACACUUUAAAACCACAGCUUUUACCAUCAUAACAUGGCUCUGGUAAUAUGUAGGAAGCUUUAUAAAAGUUUUGGUUGAUUCAGAAAAAGGAUCCUGUUGCAGAGUGAGAGGAAGCAUAGGGGGAAACUCCAUUGGAACAGAUUUUCACACAACGUUUUAAAUUGAUAUAAGUUUAGGCAGUUGUAGUUCAUAACUUAUGUUGCUCAUGUUGUGCUGUGUCAGGAUGGGAUAGGAAGCAAGUCCCAUGCUUAGAGGCAUGGGAUGUGUUGGAACGGGAUUUACACACACUGGAGGAGCAGGGCAAGUUGGAAUUCUAAGAUCCAUGAACCCCCAACUGUAUUUCCUCCCUGCAUAUUUUACCAAUAUAUUAAAAAACAAUGUAACUUUU